CAAGGGAGGGUCUGUCCAAGAGGGAUCCACUGAAGGAGCCUAUCCGUGUGGAAUCCGACCAAAGGAUCCAUCCGAGGYGGGGCCAGCCAAGGGGGUCCAUGCAAGGGUCCACACAAGGUGGAUGUCCAUCCCAGGGGAUCCAUCCRAGAUGAUCCACCCAAGGAGGGUCUACCCAAAGGGACCCACCCACGGGGCCAUCCAAAAGGAUCCAUCCAAGGACAGGGUGCCCAUCCAAGGGGACACCCGUGCACGGCGCGGGACAGGAGCAAGGGCGAGUGCCAGUUGCCUCUCCGUGCCCGGCAGGUCUGGUCCCUGGGCAACGGCUCUCACCACCCCACCAGGACAGUCGAUGGAGGCACCCACCGCUUGGAAACCCUCCCGCCGGGCCCCGGGGCCACGUACUGCAUCCAGGUGGCAGCUUUCAACGGCGCGGGGCUGGGGGUGCCCAGCAAUGUCACCUGCGGCGUCCCGGAGCCGCUCCUGGAGGCGGUGGCGCGGGGCCCCGAGGCGAUGCCCUUGGCCGCCCUCGUCGCCGGCGCCGGCGCCCUGCUCUGGGUGA
rnacentral:lncRNA from 1 species